rnacentral:lncRNA from 1 species
CGGUGUUAACGGUCAAACUGUGAAAAGCUGGUGGAACCAGGCCUGUAUUGGAAGCCACGCUCUCCUUCAGCAACUUCCACACUCCAGAUGAAAUGAAUGCUCUACAAGGUCCUAGGGGACUCACGACAGGGAAAAAUGUCAAUCACAGCUUUAACAAUGAAUGUACUUUGGAAGAAACUAAGGAGAAAACAAAUUGGAAGGUGAGACUUCAUCUUUGUUUUCAAAUAAGUGGCCUGAAUUUUUCUUCUUAUAGAAAAAAAAUUAAAGCACCUUAUAAAUGUAUCUAAACAAUUAAUUUUUGCAGCUUUCAGGUUUAGUCCAGCACUUUGUUUAUGCAAAAUCUAUGAGAAGCCAUCAUAAAAAUUAUCUAAUCUCAAAUCGUGACAUCAUCCAUUCAAGUCCUUGGCAUAAUCCCUCACCAUUAAGAGCAGAGCAUGCCUGGAUUUGCCACUGGUCAAUAGAAGUUAUCUUCAAAAUCUGGCAGAUUACGGCUAGUCAUACAUCUUGUUUGUAAUAAAAAAAAAUCAGCAAUCAGGCUUUCCGUAGUCCUCAUGCCCUAACAUAUUGUACAGUUGUCUAGUCAUAGAAUUCUCUUCCUGGGUGUGUACUUUCCUUGUUAAUGUGUUUCAGGAAGAAGGAAGAGAUUCUUGGCCACCAAUAUCCCACGUUAGGAAAUAUGCAUUAUUUAAUCACGAUCUCUUCUACUUAUUUCCUAUUGUAGAGGCUGCAUAUACAAU